rnacentral:rRNA from 1 species
AUAAGCUAAAUAAGGGCGUAUGGGGAAUGCCUAGGCUCUCAGAGGCGAAGAAGGACGUGAUAAGCUGCGAUAAGCUUCGGUUAGUGGCACAUACAUUUACCCGAAGAUUUCCGAAUGGGGCAACCCGUUAUAUUGAAGAUAUAACAUCCGCAAGGAGGCAAACCAGGAGAACUGAAACAUCUAAGUACCCUGAGGAAGAGAAAAUAAUAAUGAUUCCGUUAGUAGUGGCGAGCGAACGCGGAAGAGCCCAAACCUGUUUUGUUACGGCAAAACAGGGGUUGUAGGACCAUAAUAUGAAGGUGAAACGAACUAGAAUCAGUUGGAAAGCUGAGCGAUAUAGGUGACAGCCCUGUAUAGGUAAAAUUUUAUUGGAUAGUGGUAUCCUGAGUAGCGCGGGGCACGUGUAACCCUGUGUGAAUCUGCCGGGACCAUCCGGUAAGGCUAAAUACUCCUGAGAGACCGAUAGUGAACCAGUACCGUGAGGGAAAGGUGAAAAGAACCCUGAAUAAGGGAGUGAAAAAGAUCCUGAAACCAUACGCUUACAAGCGGUCGGAGCCCUUUUGGGUGACGGCGUGCCUUUUGCAUAAUGAGCCUACGAGUUACCGUUGCUAGCAAGGUUAAGUACUUCAGGUACGGAUCCGUAGCGAAAGCGAGUCUGAAUAGGGCGCUAUAGUUAGUAGUGGUAGACGCGAAACCGUGUGAUCUACCCUUGGGCAGGUUGAAGCUUUGUUAACCCAAAGUGGAGGACCGAACCCGUUGACGUUGAAAAGUCUUGGGAUGACCUGAGGGUAGGGGUGAAAGGCCAAUCAAACUCGGAAAUAGCUCGUACUCCCCGAAAUGCAUUUAGGUGCAGCGUAUACAUAGUUUUAUAGAGGUAGAGCUACUGAUUGGAUGCGGGGGCUUCACCGCCUACCAAUUCCUGACAAACUCCGAAUGCUAUAAAAUGGUUGUAUGCAGUGAGGGCAUGGGUGCUAAGGUCCAUGUCCGAGAGGGAAAGAACCCAGACCAUCAGCUAAGGUCCCUAAAUAUAUGUUAAGUUGAAAAAACGCGGUUGAACUGCUUUGACAGCUAGGAUGUUGGCUUGGAAGCAGCCAUUCAUUUAAAGAGUGCGUAACAGCUCACUAGUCGAGCGGUUUGGCAUGGAUAAUAAUCGGGCAUAAACAUAUUACCGAAGCUAUGGACUUCUUAAGAAGUGGUAGGGGAGCAUUCUAGUUGUGUAGAAGGUGUGUUGUGAAGCAUGCUGGAACGGCUAGAAAAGAAAAUGUAGGCAUAAGUAACGAUAAGGUGGGCGAGAAACCCACCCGCCGAAAGACUAAGGUUUCCUCAGCUAUGCUAAUCAGCUGAGGGUUAGUCGGGACCUAACGCGAACCCGAAAGGGGUAGUGGAUGGACAACAGGUUAAUAUUCCUGUACCUGCUCACAUAAAAAGUGACGGAUUCGAAUAGAUGGUGCGUACUGACGGAAUAGUACGUUGAAGUGAGUAGUAAUACCACGAUAGUACACCGAAGCUUCGGCUGGCGUGAUAAUCCAUCGAAUCGAGUUCCAAGAAAAACGAGUGAAGCAGCCCGUACCCUAAACCGACACAGGUAGUUGGGAUGAGAAUUCUAAGGCGCUCGAGCGAUUCAUGGUUAAGGAACUAGGCAAAAUCGACCCGUAACUUCGGGAGAAGGGUCGCCCCACUUAUGUGGGGCCGCAGUGAAGAGGUCCAGGCGACUGUUUAUCAAAAACACAGGGCUAUGCUAAUUCGAAAGAAGAUGUAUAUGGCCUGACACCUGCCCGGUGCUGGAAGGUUAAGAGGAGGGUUUAGCUUCGGCGAAGAUCUGAAUUGAAGCCCCAGUAAACGGCGGCCGUAACUAUAACGGUCCUAAGGUAGCGAAAUUCCUUGUCGGGUAAGUUCCGACCUGCACGAAUGGUGCAACGAUCUGGACACUGUCUCAACCAUGAUCUCGGUGAAAUUGUAGUAUCGGUGAAGAUGCCGGUUACCCGCUGUGGGACGAAAAGACCCCGUGCACCUUUACUAUAGCUUAGUAUUGGUUUUGGAUAAGUAAUGUGUAGGAUAGGUGGGAGACUUCGAAGCAGCGUCGCCAGGCGUUGUGGAGUCAUUGUUGAAAUACCACCCUUUGCUUGUCUAAAGCCUAACUCAGAGAUGAGGACAGUGCUUGGUGGGUAGUUUGACUGGGGUGGUCGCCUCCAAAAGAGUAACGGAGGCUUCUAAAGGUUUGCUCAGUACGGUUGGUAAUCGUGCGCAGAGUGCAAUGGCAAAAGCAAGCUUGACUGAGAGACCUACAAGUCGAUCAGGUACGAAAGUAGAGCAUAGUGAUCCGGUGGUUCCGCAUGGAAGGGCCAUCGCUCAAAGGAUAAAAGGUACGCCGGGGAUAACAGGCUGAUCUCCCCCAAGAGCUCACAUCGACGGGGGGGUUUGGCACCUCGAUGUCGGCUCGUCACAUCCUGGGGCUGGAGAAGGUCCCAAGGGUUGGGCUGUUCGCCCAUUAAAGUGGCACGCGAGCUGGGUUCAGAACGUCGUGAGACAGUUCGGUCUCUAUCUACAGUGGGCGUUAGAAAUUUGAGUGGAUCUGACUUUAGUACGAGAGGACCGAGUUGGACUAACCUCUGGUGUAUCUGUUGUUGCGCCAGCAGCAUUGCAGAGUAGCUACGUUGGGAAGGGAUAAGCGCUGAAAGCAUAUAAGCGCGAAACCCACCACAAGAUGAGAUUUCUUUAAAGGGUCGUGAGAGACGAUCACGUUGAUAGGCUAUAGGUGUAAAGGCAGUAAUGUCAUAGCCAAGUAGUACUAAUAACCCGUAGGCUUAUGUGU